rnacentral:rRNA from 1 species
UGGGGAAUAUUGGACAAUGGGCGCAAGCCUGAUCCAGCCAUGCCGCGUGAGUGAUGAAGGCCCUAGGGUUGUAAAGCUCUUUCACCGGUGAAGAUAAUGACGGUAACCGGAGAAGAAGCCCCGGCUAACUUCGUGCCAGCAGCCGCGGUAAUACGAAGGGGGCUAGCGUUGUUCGGAUUUACUGGGCGUAAAGCGCACGUAGGCGGACUUUUAAGUCAGGGGUGAAAUCCCGGGGCUCAACCCCGGAACUGCCUUUGAUACUGGAAGUCUUGAGUAUGGUAGAGGUGAGUGGAAUUCCGGGUGUAGAGGUGAAAUUCGUAGAUAUUCGGAGGAACCCCAGUGGCGAAGGCGGCUCACUGGACCAUUACUGACGCUGGGGUGCGAAAGCGUGGGGAGCAAACAGG